rnacentral:lncRNA from 1 species
UUGCCCAAAACAAACUCAUCUCACAACAAGUGGAACUCUUAACGCAGCAAAUAAAAGAGUUGAGGGAACCUUCUAAAGCUAAACAAAUAGCUUGUUGUGAACUUUGCAAAGGUGAGCAUGACACCGGAUUCUGUCCACCUCCGGGGUUCGAAGAUGUAAACUACAUGGCAAACCAAAAGGACUACCAACCGAGACAACAACAACAACAAC